rnacentral:lncRNA from 1 species
GUAGGGAUGCAAAUGGAUCUGGGUUGGUGGAGCUUCCGUACCGAUCUGCCUUGAAUGAGGCAAUAAGUGAAAACAAAAAAUAUAGUGCGUCCCGAUUCCGUCUUGAUCUAAUCUGCCAAGUAAAUGAAGUGGGACAGAAGACCUUUUUCUUUCUUUGAUCCGUCACAAUCUGUCAAAAAUUUGUGAAAAACCCGCACCCGCCGCGAACAGUCCCGAAUGGAGUGGUAAAUGGGGCCCAAAAAUACGAUUAAAAGUUAUCCACUCUGAAUCUGCCCCGAUUUGAUAAAACUAGAGCAAAAAUUAAGAGAUCCAUCCCGCCUCCUGAUCUGCCUUGUUUGC